AUCAGCUCCUUCUCUGCUGGGUCCAGAUAUAUUGGCAACAAAGGUCUUCUAUCCCACCAGUGCUGCCACUGCCUGACCAAGAAGAAGAAAAGUCUAGACCUUGCCCUGCAGCCAGCCAACCUUGUUCCAGUCCUGUUCCAGCCUUGCUUCUGCCUCAGAACCAGCCCUGCUCCUGCUCUCCCUGACUUCAGACUUCCAUGGUAAGUUUGGGAAGCCUCCUGGGUAAAGAGACCAACAAAGCAAAAAUUUCAGUUUCCAAUUACAGAAUGUAUUUCAAGUGUGAAGCAUCCCUAUAUCUUCAUUAGUUGUGUCACACUGUUUCCUCUCAGCACUUCCAGGAUCUCUUAUGUGUAUAGAAUGCUCUCCAUAUCUUUAAAUCUCAAGAAGCCUUAUUUCUUAUGAACUACUUGAUCAUACUUAUUCUUUUUUUAAUUAUGAGAUUCAUUUCUACAUGUUACAGGGUCUUAUAUCUAUCAUUAUUCAAUAAAAAUAAUUGGGGGUAGAAAUUAAGCAUCCUGGAAAGCGCUUUGAAUUGUAUGUGUUGAUUCUUUAUCACAGAACCUUUAAUAUCAAAAGAAUCAUUUUCCUAUAUUAUCUACCAUGUUGCAUGUGUUACUGUUUUCCAUUCCCGGUCUCAGGUACACUGUGCCCAAACCCAGAGAGUCCAUACUCAAUUUGUCCAUGUGCUGAGGUAUCAGAAAUUCUACCAGUAGCCAAUGUUAGUAUUAGAUGUUAGAAUAUUUGUAACUCAUUUUCCUAAGUUUGUAAAAAAUCUUCUUUUAUUUGAAUUUUUAAUGUACUUUGGAGUCUCCA